GACGAAGGGGGGCUAGCGUUGUUCGGAAUACUGGGCGUAAAGCGCGUGUAGGCGGUUGUUCAAGUCAGGUGUGAAAGCCUUGAGCUCAACUCAAGAAAUGCACUUGAUACUGGAUGACUAGAGGACCGGAGAGGAUAGUGGAAUUCCCAGUGUAGUGGUGAAAUACGUAGAGAUUGGGAAGAACACCAGUGGCGAAGGCGGCUAUCUGGACGGUUUCUGACGCUAAGACGCGAAAGCGUGGGGAGCAAACAGG
rnacentral:rRNA from 1 species